rnacentral:lncRNA from 1 species
AACAUUUCCAAACCUCUGCUUGCAUUGCACAGCAAGGUCAACGCUGAUGAGAGCUGAGGCACGCUCGUGUGCUAAUCUGUCUUUCUAUAGGAUUUGCUGCUCCGUAAGAAAUUCUUAUUCAUCUCUAAAGAAAAAAGCAUGAGUGAUUCCUAUUCCUCAAGAAACCUGUCUGCUGUGAAAGCACCAUUUCAACAUUCAAGAAGAGUCUAAAUCCCUUUCAGAUUAGAUUAAGUCAGUGAAUGGGUCGUACCAUGAAAUGAAAAGGCAAACAGAACUUGUCAAAUGUGUUGUUCAUGAAAAUCGUUUAGAAAAAUUAAUAUAAAUGAAAUUUUUGUAUAAAUUCAUUUGAGGGGACCCGGAUAGCUCUGUUGGUUAACCAUCCGAUUCUUUUAUUUUUAAAGAUUUUUAUUUAUUUAUUUGACAGAC